rnacentral:rRNA from 1 species
GAUGAACGCUGGCGGCGUGCUUAACACAUGCAAGUCGAACGAUGAAGCCCAGCUUGCUGGGUGGAUUAGUGGCGAACGGGUGAGUAACACGUGAGUAACCUGCCCUUGACUCUGGGAUAAGCCUGGGAAACUGGGUCUAAUACUGGAUAUGACUUCUCAUCGCAUGGUGGGGGGUGGAAAGAUUUAUUGGUCUUGGAUGGACUCGCGGCCUAUCAGCUUGUUGGUGAGGUAAUGGCUCACCAAGGCGACGACGGGUAGCCGGCCUGAGAGGGUGAUCGGCCACACUGGGACUGAGACACGGACCAGACUCCUACGGGAGGCAGCAGUGGGGAAUAUUGCACAAUGGGCGCAAGCCUGAUGCAGCGACGCCGCGUGAGGGAUGACGGCCUUCGGGUUGUAAACCUCUUUCAGUAGGGAAGAAGCGAGAGUGACGGUACCUGCAGAAGAAGCGCCGGCUAACUACGUG